rnacentral:rRNA from 1 species
ACGGUCCUAAGGUAGCGAAAUUCCUUGUCGGGUAAGUUCCGACCCGCACGAAUGGCGUAACGACUUGGGCACUGUCUCAACAAGGGACCCGGCGAAAUUGUAGUAUGUGUGAAGAUGCACAUUACCCGCGAUAGGACGGAAAGACCCCGUAGAGCUUUACUGUAGUUUAACAUUGGAUUUUGAUAACACAUGUACAGGAUAGGUGGGAGGCUGAGAAACCGGGACGCCAGUACCGAUGGAGCCGUUGUUGGGAUACCACUCUUGUGUUAUUGGAGUUCUAACGAAGUGCCGUAAACCGGGCUUCGGACAGUGUUAGAUGGGCAGUUUGACUGGGGCGGUCGCCUCCGAAAGAGUAACGGAGGCGUCCAAAGGUUCCCUCAGAAUGGUUGGAAACCAUUCACAGAGUGCAAAGGCAGAAGGGAGCUUGACUGCGAGACCGACAGGUCGAGCAGGUACGAAAGUAGGGCUUAGUGAUCCGGCGGUAUGAGAGUGGAAUUGCCGUCGCUCAACGGAUAAAAGCUACCUCGGGGAUAACAGGCUGAUCUCCCCCAAGAGUUCACAUCGACGGGGAGGUUUGGCACCUCGAUGUCGGCUCGUCGCAUCCUGGGGCUGGAUUAGGUCCCAAGGGUUUGGCUGUUCGCCAAUUAAAGCGGCACGCGAGCUGGGUUCAGAACGUCGUGAGACAGUUCGGUCCCUAUCCAUCGUGGGCGCAGGAGAUUUGAGAGGAGCUGUCCUUAGUACGAGAGGACCGGGAUGGACGCACCAAGGGUGAAUCAGUUGUCGUGCCAACGGCACAGCUGGGUAGCCAAGUGCGGAUCGGAUAAACGCUGAAGGCAUCUAAGCGUGAAGCCGACCUCAAGAUAAGAUCUCCCAUCCGAAAGGAGUAAGACCCCAUGAAGACCACAUGGUUGAUAGGCCGGAGGUGGAAGUGCAGUAAUGUACGGAGCUGACCGGUACUAAUAGGUCGAGGGCUUGAUCGA